UAAAAAUCUAACCCCAUAAAAAGAGAGUUUAACUACACAUGGUAGCAAUACAUAUGAAGUAGAAAUAUAAUAGCAUCAAAUGAUCUCUCAAUCUUUAACUAAUUCUAAUUAUGCAUGCCUACAAUGUAUAACCCCUCUCAACACUUUUUAAUCAUUAGCACUUGAAAUAAAAUAAAAGAAACUAAAACAUUUAUAAAAUAUGAUAACUCUAAUGUCUACCUUGGCUUCCUAUUUAUAUGCUUAAGAUCAGUCCUCAUUCGUCCGGCGAAAUGUGGCUCACACAAUAAAAUCACCUUUUUUCCUGCUUCAUUUGUACUAAAGCAACAUUGAUCACCUUCUUAACCUCCAUAAAUUUGUUGGGAGGAUUUUCGCUCGUCCAAAAAUUUUCCCUAAUUUUGGAUCUUAAACUCUCUGUUCUAAUUCGAAUGGUUGAAGAUAAUUCUCCAAAUAAAUUGACUUGUUUGCCCAAUUUUUUUAUUUUUUGCAGAUACUGAAUCUUUAAGAAUUGAGUUCCUUGCUCCAUUUUGGCUUAUCUUUUGAUAAUUUCUUCUAUGUUAUACAUCCUUUAUACCAAAACAUUAAAAAGAAUAUAAAAUAGGAUAAAUGCAUUAUUUCAGAAUAAUUCAUUAUUUGCAUAUAAAUUGAGAGUUUUCUAUGUUACUUCAUGUGCAAGUAAGCUAGUAAGUGCGAGAAUUUGAUAUCUAAAACAUGUAAAUUACACACUUAUCUAUGACCUAUCUCGGAAUUAGUUUAGAUAUAAAGACCAAUAUUAAAGAGUGUGAAAUUUUGUUCUUCGAAUGACAAGAUAUCAGACACAAUGUUGUAACAAUGUGUAUGACAAGUUAUAUGUAUAAUAGACAGAAUAAAUGCAAAAUAUAAAUAACAUAAGAAUUAGUAACCCAGUUCGAUUCAAAUUAUCUACAUCUGGAGGGAGUUAACCCAGGAAAGAAAAUUCAUUCUUAAUAGUCAGAAGUGCAAAGUUAUAUUAGUUGAACUCUCCUUGAUCAAUUCCAAUUUUCCUAAUACUGCCUUGUCAUACCCUAAUUUUGGCCCAUCAUUUCUCUAGUUUUUAAUUUAUUUUGCAUUGCAUCUCUUGCAUUUUUAGGUCUAGGUCAAUUUGAGCGUAUGAUCAAUUUGACCAUGAUUCCCCAUUUCAUCUAUUUUGUUUUGCAUAAUAAGGUCAUCUUUUUGGGGCCUUUGGCCAUUGCUAUUCAUGCUAGCUCUAUACAUUAUUCAAGUUAGAAUUUUGAGUCAUUAAGACUAGUUUUUUUUAAUAAAGCUUUGCAUCUUACUAUAGUUUGUUCUUAUCAUUUCUUCAUGACAUCAUCAUAUUAUCCACAUCACUUGUAAUACCAUUAUCGUCAUUUUUCCAAAAGGCCAAAAAUGAUUAAAGUAGAAAGCUCAAAGUUAUAAGUUUCAUUUUUAUGUCAUCAAUAUUUUAAGUGCCAUAUACCAUUCCACAGUGCAUUUAGGCCAUGCUAAUUGAAGUACAAUGAAAAGAAAUAAGUUAAUUAGAUUUGAAUGUGGCUAUUUCAAUUGAAUUAGUCUUGCAUUACAUAACCCCUUCCAUACCCAUUAGCAUUUACACACAUAUGUAACAAAAUUGAGAAUUAAUUGGAUAACUUUUAUUGCAUUCACAACACAACAUACAUCAUCAAAUGGUUUGAAAUAUAAUUUUACCAAUAAGUACUAGUCCAUACAUCAUAUUACAUAUAUUAUUAAUUAAAUAAACAAACAAACAAACAAAAAAUGAGUUUACCUUAUGAUGAAACACGACUCUCAUGUUGAUACAACCAUCCUUCUCAUCUCAACAGUGACAUCAUUCUCAUGCCUUGUAUAUCAUCUUCUCAACUUUUCCAUCACAUCCAUACCCCUCCAAUUCAUCAUUCCAUCACACAUCCUGCAACAUUCAUACAUCAAAUAAAACAAAAUUAAACAAAUUGAAAGGAAGUGGAAUUAUAGAGGACACGAGUUUUCUGUUACUACUAGCAUACCAUCAACAACCUCCCUAACAUACAUUCACAACAUCCAUACAUAACCAACUAAUUUUAAUUAAAUUGAAAAGUGCAAAAAAGAGAAACAAAUUCAAGGAAGUGGAAAACUUGUGCUUCUAUCAUACAUCAUUAUACCACACAUCAUCAAACAAUCCAUCACAAACACAUACGAAUUUCUCCACACAAUAUAUCACAUGCCAUCAAAAUUCAUCUUAACUCACAUUUUUUCACCUCACACAAUCCACUCCUUCCCAAAUUUACAAGGAUCACAAUUCCCCACCCUUUAAAUGAUUCCCUAACAAACUUCAUUUCCCCCUCAAAAUUGGCUCACACGUUUGAUCACAUCACUUCACUCCCCACUAUAAAACAACAUCGCUACAACAUACCAAUGACAUGAAAAAAUCUAUCCAAACUCUACUAAAACCAAAUAUCACCCUCACUAAAGCUUUUCAACACAAAGCCUCUCAAGUUCAACAUCUGAACUUCAGCAUGGCUUUUGCUUAACCACGGACCAUUGCCUAACUGAAUAUGAUAAGGAAAAGAAUAGGAGGGAGAUGAAGAGAAGAGCACAAUAACACACAAAAUCAGAAAAGAGAGUGUGGAGGAAACAUACUUGAGUUAUCCAUCGUUCAUCAGAGUCUCGUCGGAGUUCCAUACUUCAGAGAGGUCUUCUUCUUUGUUUUUUGAUUUUCUUCCUCGCUAUUGCUUUUGUUUGAUCUUUAUUGAAUUCUUGAUUGUGAUAAUUUAUAACAUUAGUGAUUGUAUUGUUCAAUUUUGAACCUAUGGUUUUAUUUUGGAACUAGGUUAGAUCAAUGAAUUUGUGUAUAUUUUUCUUGUUUUGAUAACAUAUUCAUGAUCAGAAAAUGAUUUUAGUUAGGGUUUGUUUAGUUUAUUUUUGGAUUUGGUAUUUGGUUUCGAACUCUGGAUUUUGAAUGAUGAACACUUGCAUGGUCUUCAUCAAGUUCAUCCAUAACUGUAGUGGGGUAUUCAUUACCUUUAGAUUUAUUGACUAAAUCAAAAGUAAAUCAUACAAUUCGAGUCGCCACCGCACUUCUAUUUAUCCAAAG
rnacentral:lncRNA from 1 species